AGCACGUAAGAGAUAACGUUUAUCGCAAUUCUCCGUUAGGGUAAUACAACGGACGCCGUCAUCCAAUAAGAAUGGAAUCGAUCGACCUCUAUUUGCUUCACAAGAACUCCGUUGCUGUUGUUCAUUAGAGCACCUGCUCUGAAUCCCGAAUUGCCUGAUUCCUGAAUCCUGAUAACUAUUCUAACAGUAAGAAAACCCUAGACCGUUCUCCUCCGUCGGCGUCUCCGGCUUAGGGUUUAAGCUUUUGGAUUAAACAAUUUUUAUCAGUUGCAGCAGAGUUUCAGGGGACUCUGGGUCAACAUGGGAUUUGACAACGAGUGUAUACUGAAUAUUCAAUCACUUGCUGGUGAAUAUUUCUGCCCUGUUUGUCGUCUGCUAGUCUACCCAAAUGAAGCGAUACAAUCACAAUGCACACAUUUAUACUGUAAACCCUGCUUAACCUACAUAGUAAGCACUACACGAGCCUGCCCCUAUGAUGGCUAUUUGGUAACGGAAGUGGAUUCCAAGCCUCUGAUUGAAUCAAAUAAAGCACUAGCUGAAACCAUAGGCAAAAUAGCUGUUCACUGCCUUUAUCAUAGAAGUGGAUGUACCUGGCAGGGUGCAUUGUCAGAAUGCACAUCUCAUUGUGCUGGAUGUGCCUAUGGCAAUUCACCUGUUGUAUGCAACAGGUGCGGGACCCAAAUCGUGCAUCGCCAAGUACAGGAACAUGCACAGAACUGCCCGGGUGUGCAGCUUCAAGUACAGCAGGCAGAGGGUUCUCAGGAUGCAUCGACAGCUCCAGUUACAACAUCUGCAGCUGAGCAGAAUCAAGCUGUUCCUCAAACAGGGCUGCCAGCUUCUCAAGGUCAGCCCACACAGACUACUGUAGCUCUGUCUUCAGGACAGGAACAAAGUCAAGCAAGUACAAAUGCUCAAUCUCAAGUUGUAAAUCAGACUAUUCCAACUCCUGAACAAUGGUAUCAGCAACAACAACAAUAUCAACAAUACUAUCAGCAGUAUCCUGGAUAUGACCCUUAUCAACAACACUAUCACCAGUAUGAUCCUUAUCAACAAGCUCACCAUCAAUAUCAACAACAGCAUCCUCUGCAUGCACAGGGUCAGCAUCAAUCUCAGGUUUACAUGCAACCCCAACUCCAACCACAUCCUCAUCCUCAGCCCCAGCCCCAGCCCCAACUUCAGCCACAACCUCAGCCCCAGCCCCAGCCCCAGUCCCAACCUCAGCCUCACCCACAGGUCCAACCUCCAGCCCAGCCCCAACCCCAUCCUCAGCCUCUUGCACACGUGCAGGUGCCUGUGACUGUGCAACCUCAAAUGCAGUCACAGGUUAAUUCACAACAGCAGCUUCACCCCACUGCACAGUCACAUGCUCAAAUCCAGCAACAGACUCAUCCACCACCCCAGGGGCACCAACAUCCUCAGCAAUAUCCUCAACCUCAGUCUCAAACGCAACCUCAUUUGGUUCCAUCUCAUGGGCAGCAAAAUCCACAAAUACAACAUCAACAACCUCAUCACCAGAUUCAACAUCCUCAACCUCAACCUCAACCACAACCACAACCACAAUCCCAUUCUCAACCUCAUCCCCUGCCUAUCUCCCAGCACCAUCCCCAAGGUCCUGCACACCAACAGGUGCAACCACAGCCUCAGCAUCAUCCCCAUAUUCAGCCCCAGCCCCAACCACAACCUCAGCCACAAAAUCCAUUAGUCCAUUCUGUGACAGGUCACCAGUCCUAUGUGCAACCUCAGCAUCAGCAGAUGCCUCCACUUGCUCCACAACAACAUCCUGCCCAUGUGCAUGCUCAGCAGCAACCUGGUGUACCUCACCAAGUGCCUCAACAUCAUGUUCAAAUGCCAAGUCAAUUUCCUCCCCAGCAACCACAUCAUAUUCGUCCACCCCAAACUCAUGUUCAUGUGCACCAGCAACAGCCAGCCAUGCUGCUCCAACAAGGUCAACAUUCAAACUUAGUUCCUGCUCAACAGCAGCCUGUGCAUCCUCACAUCUCUCAACCAGGUCAACAGCCUGUGGUCCAUCAGCACCCAGGUUUGCAGCCACCUCAACAGAAACAACAAACUAUGCCACAACAACAGUCACAACAGUUGUAUAAUCAUUCCUCCCAAGGGCAUUUGCAGCAUUCUCAGCCUUUUCCAGGACAAACGCCUGCUUUGAUUCACAGUCAACCUCAUCAGCAAGGUGCUUUCAUGCAGCAGCAGUCCAUGCAGCCUCACUUGCGCCCUCAAGGUCAACCACCUGUUCAGCAGCUUUCUCAGAACCUGCAACACCAGACUCAGAAUAAUGCAGGAAGACCCCUGAUACCAAGUCAAGGAGGGGCACAGCAACCAUUCCUUCUUUCACCUGGUGGAGCUACAGGAGUGGGGCAGGUGAAGCCGGUACAUCCUAGUGCAAAUCAGCCUUCUCCAAAUAAAAGUUAUCCUCUAGGAACUGUCAUCCAUCCACAAUUGUCUUCUGAACAAGUUGGUUACAUACAACAACCUGUACUUGCACAAUCUGGCAGACAAAAUGCUCUAUUUCCUGUUUUGCAUGCUCAGCAGCCUGUAUCAAAUGGACAGAUUUCUACUCGAGCCACCAUGAAAUCAACCUUAUUUGAUAAGCAAGGAGUUGCUUUGACUGAGAAAAGUACACAUGAAGUCAACACUGAAACCCCUCAGGAUAUAGGUGGAAAGGAGACAAAUGUCUCAGUGGCUGUGUCUUAUGAAACUGCAGGUUCGAUUGAAUCAAAGGUGACAAAGUCUGAAAAGGAUUUGAAGCCCUUGGCUGAUGAGGGGAAGCCAAUCCAUAGUGAUGAAGAUAAAGGUAACCAGCUGGACACGACUGUCAAAGAGACUGUAGACUCCUCAGAGAGGCUGGAGGCACAGGCGAAGACCCAUGUGCCAGAAGAUGGUCCAGACGAGCCUGUAAUUAAGGAGAUGGUGAAAGAAGAGGCAGCUGAUAAGUCAUUGGAGCCAUCAUUAGGUCAUAAAGAUGAUAUAGUGGAAGACAGCGAAGAUAAAAAAAUUCAGGAUGCCUCAGUUCAUAAACAGCAAAAUGAGAUUCCUGAAAGACAAGAUGAAAAGUCACAGAAGGAUGCAAUAGAUGCUGAUAUCAGUGGUCAAGGUGUUGGUGGUGAAAGGGGGAUCUUGAAGUCUCCUCAUAUGAAUAAAGAUCCUUUGCUACAGUCUUCUCACCAAGGUCUUGCUCCAAAUCAUGGACAGAUAUUAUCUCAUACUGGUAACGAGGAAAGAGUCCUGCCCCAGGCCCAGUUUCCUAGGCAAGGUCCCAAUAUAGAUGAUUAUAGGGGCUUGCUUCCAUCUGGUCAGGUGCAGGGUAAGGGCCUUCUGCAACCUCAUCUAGGUCCAGGUCCUGAUCAACAGCUUCCUGUGCAUUAUGGGUCUCCUCAUCAGCAGCGGCUUCCUGUACCUGACCGUAUGUUACAGUCUUCAAUGCCCCCACAACAUCAAAUGCAGCCUCCAACCCAUAUGAGGCCUCAAGGACCCAUUGGACAUCUAAAUCCACAAGGGCACCUUCCAAUUCCACAAGAGCAGUUGCAGCCAUUACUGUCAAAACAGCCUCAUGGUACUUUCAAUCAUGAACUUCAGUCUGGUAGCUUUCCAGGUCCAGGACCCUCAUCUUCAUCUGGGAGGGGACCAAUUAAUUUAGGUCUUCCAAGAAGUUUGGAAGCACACCAUAUUGCUCCUCAAGUCUAUCAUAAUCUAGGCAAUACACCCCCUGCCCAUACUGGUGGCCCAAGAAUUCCUCAUGGAGAGCCUGUUAGAGGUCCACCAUUGGUUGGGCCAACUCCUGGGAUAUUUGAUUCUCAAGGAGGUGCACUGCCAAGAGGAGUACCACAUGGUAUGGAAGGUCAGCUACAUGGUGCCAAUCCCAUGCAAGCUGAAAUGCUUGCAAAUAAGAGGCCUGGAUACUUUGAUGGUAGACAACCUGACUCGCAUCUUCCCGACUCUGCAGAGAGGGUACCAUUUGGGCAGCCUUCUGGAAUACAGGGCAAUAUGAUGAAGAUCAAUGGCAUCCCAGACAAGGUUUUGUCUGGUGGGGUGCCAGAUCCGUUCUUUCCUCAUGGUUUGUCAGAGGAAAGAUUUAAGACUUUGCCAGAGGAGAGAUACAAACGCUUACCAGAGGAAGUAUUCAAUCCAUUGCCAGAGGAACGCUUCAAGCCUUUCCCAUUGGAACCUGGUAGGCACCUUAUUAAUCGAAGAGAAUUUGAAGAUGAUCUCAAACAAUUUCCAAGACCAGCUCAUCUUGAUGCUGAAUCCGUGUCGAAGUUUGAGAGAUACUUAUCCUCAAGACCUCUUGACAGGGGUUCUCAUGGUUUUGGCAUGGAUGCUUCAAGAAGAUCUCUUGAUAGAGCACCUGGAGUUGGGCGUGAUGCGGGAUCCAAACUGGAUGGCAGUGCUAGUGCUGCCUCUUUGAGGCUGUUGCCCUCUUAUCAACCUGGUGGUUCAUCAGUGCAUUCAUUGGACUUGGGUGAAAGAUUAAGGCCAGUUGGUCUCCAUGACGAUAACAUUGGGAGAAAGUCAGAUCCUGCUGGGGUUCCUUCCGAUUUCCUUAGACCUGUUUCUGAAUUUGGUCGGCAUCGUAUGGAUGGUUUGCCUCCUCUAAGAAGCCCUGGUAGAGAAUACCCUGGCAUUCCUUCAAGUAGAUUUGGGGGCACAUCACGCCUGGAUAAUAUUGAUGAGAGGGAAUCACGUGCAUUUGGUGAACGAUCUAAACCUUUUAAUCUUCCUCCAGAACCAAUUGGUAGUGCAUUUCGUGAAGGUAGGUUUUUGCGACGGGGUGAGACUGAUGGUCCUGGUAAUAUGCGAAUUGGUGAACAGAUUCUGUCUGGUGGUUUGCCUCCUCAUUUGAGGGGUGGUGAUUUGGCAGGUUCUGAUAUUCUGCCUAGCCACUUACGUAGCCGUGAGCCUCUUGUAUCUGGUGGUUUGAGUCAUUUGCGGGAUGGAGAGCAUGUAGGUCCUCGUGGAUUGCUCAGUCAUCUACGUAUGGGUGAGCCAGCUGGUUUUGGUGCCCUUCCUGCACAUUUACGGAUGGGUGAACUGGCAGGGACUGGGAAUUUGCCUUCACAUCUUCAUAUUGGUGAAUCAAUUGGUGGAGGUAACUUGCUAACAAAUUCACGAUGUGGUGAGCCUGGUUUUGGGGUCAACUAUCCUGUUCAAGGACAUCCAAGUGAUAGUGGAUUUUACCCUGGAGACAUAGAGUUAUUUGAUCACUCAAGAAAGAGGAAGUCUGGUAGCAUGGGUUGGUGUCGUAUAUGUAAAUUGGACUGUGAAACUGUGGAGGGUCUUGACCUUCACUCACAAACAAGAGAGCAUCAAAAGAUGGCCAUGGAUAUGGUCUUAAGCAUCAAGAAGGAUAAUGCAAAGAAACAGAAGCUAGCAUCAGAUGACCAUACCUCAGGUGAAGAUGCAAGCAAGUCCAGAAAGGUUACUUUUGAGAGUCGUGGAAACAAACAUUAGAUCUCAUAGUUACUUCAACAUGCAUCUAAUUGCCAAUGUUUGAGAAAUUGAUUGGUUGCUGACCGGAAUUCAUUUUGUUUUGUUUCUUCAGUAAUUUUGCAUCAGAUAUGAAGACAUUUAGACAUAGAAAUGGUUAGAAGUUCAGCAUGAUGGGCAUGAGUUCACUCCUUUUCUUUUCCUUCUUGGGAAAGUUCAAUUGUGUGCUGUUCAAACGUGGACUAGGGAGAGUUAGAAUUGUGACUGGCCUCUGAAUGGAUAUGAUUCCUCUUGUUCUUCAUCCUGAAAAAUAAAAUGGGCCUUCUGAAGAAAUUUGGUAUGUUCUUUAUACAUCUCUUGCCGAUGAUUGAUCUCUUUGGUCGCUCCAAGAUGUUGGUCAUUCAUGCUAGUUCUGUGAGUGAACUUGUUUUGAAUUAUGAUAUGAAUCCCUCGUUUCACGUCUCAA